UGAACUCGUUCGAUCACCGAAGUCAAGCAACAUCUGGCGCGGUCAGUACUUGGGAGGGUGACCACCUGCGAACACCGCGUGUCGU